ACCUGGCUGGCUCAGUUGGUAGAGCGUGUGACUCUUGACCUCAGGGUUGUAAGUUCAAGCCCCAUGUUGGGUG
rnacentral:tRNA from 1 species